rnacentral:tRNA from 1 species
GAAGUUGUAGCUCAGUGGUAGAGUGUUUGCCUAAUGUGCAAAAGGUCCCGGGGUUCAAUUCCU